AUUGAACGCUGGCGGCAGGCCUAACACAUGCAAGUCGAACGGAAGCAGGGAGAUGGCUGCUUCUUUCAGGUGGGGAGGGGGGAGGGAGGGCUAUGUAUCUGCAAGUGUGUGGUGGAGAGGGUCAUCAAGUGGGAACUGUUACUCCAAUCGCACAUAGGGGCAAGGUGAGAGAGCUGGGGAUCUUCGGCUCUUGCAAGAGCCUAGGUCGGAUUAGCUAGUUGGUGGGGUAAAGGCCCACCAAGGCGACGAUCCGUAGCUGGUCUGAGAGGAUGAUCAGCCACACUGGAACUGAGACACGGUCCAGACUCCUACGGGAGGCAGCAGUGGGGAAUAUUGGACAAUGGGCGCAAGCCUGAUCCAGCCAUGCCGCGUGGGUGAAGAAGGCCUUCGGGUUGUAAAGCACUUUUAGUGGGGAGGAAGGGCAGCAAGUUAAUACCUUGCUGUUUUGACGUUACCCACAGAAUAAGCACCGGCUAACUUCGUG
rnacentral:rRNA from 1 species